rnacentral:rRNA from 1 species
CAGUCGCCGCGGUAAUACGGAGGGGGCUAGCGUUGUUCGGAAUUACUGGGCGUAAAGCGCACGUAGGCGGCUUUGUAAGUUAGAGGUGAAAGCCCGGGGCUCAACCCCGGAAUAGCCUUUAAGACUGCAUCGCUUGAACGUCGGAGAGGUGAGUGGAAUUCCGAGUGUAGAGGUGAAAUUCGUAGAUAUUCGGAAGAACACCAGUGGCGAAGGCGGCUCACUGGACGACUGUUGACGCUGAGGUGCGAAAGCGUGGGGGGCAAACAGGAUUAGAUACCCCCGUAGUCCCUGUCUCUUAUCC